UCAUUCCCGCUCUUUAUUUUCCCACUCCCACACGAACUCCUCCAUCUUCUCCCACUCUCAUCUCAAUCUCUUCAAACCUUAAAAACCAUUACUUGACCUCUCAAUCUCUCGCUCAAGCUCUCUCCAGCGACCUAAAACGUUGAAGAAGAAACCAUUGUGCGGUUAGGUAUGAUUCUCUCUCUCUCUCUCUCAUGCUGAUUGCAGAAUUGUUUGAUGCUUUCGUUUCUCGAAGGCUGGUUACAUUAGAUUCCACACCAUCUCGGCAAUCUUAUGUUGGCGAUUUCUGAUAUCUUCACAAUAUAUGUUUGAGGAUUGUCUUAUUAUUUUAAAUCUGGCCAUCUGAUUUACUCCAAAUUUUGGGUGUUGAUUGAUCUUACUGAGAGCUAAACUCGAUCCAAGUUUUACUUGGGAGUUCUUGGUGGUUCACCUUAAGCUGCUCCAGGUAAACAAAGGAUUGUGCUUGCAGUCUGUACCUAUUUGCAGGCCUUGGAUCGGAGAUCGAAAGUACAACUGGGUUUUGACUCGCAGCUACGCAUUACCGAGUGGGUAGAGAUGACCCCACAUGUUUAUGCAUUGCAUGCCUAUCUAACUGGAGGGGAUUCAUACUUUUCGAUUUCAGACGUGAUGUGCACGUGCCCCGAAGCCAGAAUUGAUUUGAUCGAUUGGUGGCCAUACUU